rnacentral:tRNA from 1 species
GUGGGAUUGUGGCUCAGUGGUAGAGCGCCUUGCCUCGCGUGCGUGGAGCACUGGGUUCAAUCCUCAGCACCACA